GCACGAUUCACGACACUCCGGUCAAUCAAGAGCCUUUGAUAUGCCAUUUUCUGUGGGGUAUCAAACCGUCCAGAACCAUGCGUCAAAGUAUCACUGGUGUGGGACUUUGAUUUGGUUCUUUUGGAGAUAGUCAGAUAUCACGGUCCUAUCCCUCAGUCAGCCAUUAGCCAGAGUCACGUUACUUUUAGGUCUUUUCGUCGGGUUUUAGAUGUACUGGAGUUCGACGUAGACGGUCUUUUCGGUAUCACCGGAAAGAAUAAUUUCUACAGUGUCUCGUAGAACUAUAUCUUAUCCGUGUCCGUAUCGUUCCCUGUUACCGACGGUUUCCCAGCCUUUGUGCAGUUAAAGGGGUACUUUGUUACAUGGAGAUCACGACAACACUUAGAAU